AACCACCAGUUGCACCAAAACCUACAUUCGUGAUCAAGCCAAGCCAAUUGCGUCUACUGAAUUUCACGGGUCAUCCAGCAGCAAAUGGCUCGUCUUUGCCAGCUACGCUGUAACCACCGGUUGCUCCUAAACCUACAACCGUGGUCAACAAAAGCGGUCCAGUAGUUUAUACGGAUGGUACAAUAGCGAAAGCACAAUUGGAAACCGAGCCACAAUACCAUAAGAACCAC